AUGAACGCUGGCGGCGUGCCUAACACAUGCACGUCGAGCGGCAGCGAGGGGUGCUUGCACCCUGUCGGCGAGCGGCGGACGGCUGAGUAACGCGUGGGAACGUGCCCCAAAGUGAGGAAUAACUGCCCGAAAGGGUAGCUAAUACCGCAUAUUAUCUUCGGAUCAAAGGAUUUAUCCGCUUUGGGAGCGGCUCGCGUCGGAUUAGGUAGUUGGUGAGGUAAUGGCUCACCAAGCCGACGAUCCGUAGCUGGUCUGAGAGGAUGACCAGCCAGACUGGAACUGAGACACGGUCCAGACUCCUACGGGAGGCAGCAGUGAGGAAUCUUCCACAAUGGGCGAAAGCCUGAUGGAGCAACGCCGCGUGCAGGACGAAGGCCUUCGGGUUGUAAACUGCUUUUAUAAGUGAGGAAUAUGACGGUAACUUAUGAAUAAGGAUCGGCUAACUACGUG
rnacentral:rRNA from 1 species